UGGCAUCAGUCGGGAUUCGAACUCGUGACCUCACGUUUGGGAGCCAAUGUGCUUAACCACUACACCACCGCACC